UACGUAGGGGGCUAGCGUUGUCCGGAAUCAUUGGGCGUAAAGCGCGUGUAGGCGGCCCGAUAAGUCCGCUGUGAAAGUCCAGGGCUCAACCCUGGGAUGCCGGUGGAUACUGUCGGGCUCGAGUCCGGAAGAGGCGAGUGGAAUUCCUGGUGUAGCGGUGAAAUGCGCAGAUAUCAGGAGGGACACCAAUGGCGAAGGCAGCUCGCUGGGACGUGACUGACGCUGAGACGCGAAAGCGUGGGGAGCAAACAGG
rnacentral:rRNA from 1 species